UAACGGNUGGACCCNGCCAACUUGGAGGAAUGUAUAGCCAAUAGCUACUUGGCAUNCAUUGUACAGAUGAUGCAAGAUCGACGAUGUCGAAUAAAAUUUUAGGUAGAAUUAUGAUAAUGACAUUGUNUGCCUAUGUGUCUUGACCAAAUUACGUGCCAGCAGUNGCGGUAAUACGUAGAAGACUAGUGUUAUUCAUGUUUAAUCGGUUUAAAGGGUACCUAGACGGUAGAUCAAGCUUUUUCAUAUAAAUUAUGAUAAUUAAAGGGACUAAUUUACUAGAGUUACUUACGAGGGGGUAUUAAAGUACUGCUGGNGUAGAGAUGAAAUUCUGUCAUACCUCUUUUCGAAAGAAAAAUCAUGGCACAGGUAUAGGNGAAGGCAUCCCCUUAUGUGAUAACUGACGUUGAGGGACGAAGGCUUUGUGUAACAAACAGGAUUAGAUACCCUAGUAGUUGAAGCAGAAAAUGAUGAAUGUCAUAGAUUAGAUAUAUAAGUUUAUUCUAUAAAUGAAAGNGUAAGCAUUCCNCCUCAUGAGUAAUUUGGCAACAUUGGAAUUGAAAUCAUUAGACCGUUUNUGAAACCAGUAGNGAAGUAUGUUGUUUAAUUUGAUAGUCCGCAAAAAACCUUACCNCAAUUUGAAUAUUUAUAUUUUUUUUUUAUUGUUUUCUUCUUAAUUUUCUUCUAAUAACGUGUUCAGCAUGUAAAAAGAAGAAAGUUAAUAAAGAGACAAUAAUAUAUAUUUACAAGCGNNGCACGGCGGUGNUCAGUUAAUGUCGGGAGAACUU
rnacentral:rRNA from 1 species